rnacentral:rRNA from 1 species
UACGUAGGGUGCGAGCGUUAAUCGGAAUUACUGGGCGUAAAGCGCGCGCAGGCGGUCUGUUAAGUUAGAUGUGAAAUCCCCGGGCUUAACCUGGGAACUGCAUUUGUGACUGGCAGGCUAGAGUAUGGCAGAGGGGGGUAGAAUUCCACGUGUAGCAGUGAAAUGCGUAGAGAUGUGGAGGAAUACCGAUGGCGAAGGCAGCCCCCUGGGCCAAUACUGACGCUCAUGCACGAAAGCGUGGGGAGCAAACAGG